CAGGUUUCUCAGGUUUAGUUAAGUAGUUAAGAAAUGUCGAAUCACGAAGAAUGUUUUAAAAUUAAAGACAUGCAGGAAUACAAAUCUUGCAAUAAGGUAGAGAAAUCAGUUUUUGCAGUGAAGUUAUGAUUGUAGAGAAAAGAAAGAAAUACUAUUACGAAGUGGUAUUGCAAAACGUGAACGUACGAAAUCAGCCAGAGGUAAAUGGGAUUGCUGGAAUAUAGUUCACAUUUUGAGUUCUUCUUUGAGAUCAUUUUUCUGUGAUGUAUCAUGCUUCCCAACCUACCACAUUUGUUUUUGUUUUAAUUGGAGUAGUGGAGUAGCAGUCAUGAAGUGAGAAAGCAGAAAAGGAAACAGAUUUUGCGGUACCAGGCUCAGGAAAAAGAAACCGUAGAAGUCACUUGUCGCUCAAGUUCUUCCAGUUCUUCCAAAGUUGCUCAUGGGACUGAGUACCAGGAUUGUUCCAGUGUUAACAUUUUUGCAACUAUUGAGAACUUAUUGACAGAGAAAAGAGAUUUCUAACAAGGCUCAACUGUGUGCACAUCAUGAAAUGAAUAUGGAUUUAUCAUGUGUUUGAAACUUGGAUAAGAUUGCAGAGGAAUAUUUAAAAAAAGCCGACUGUCCUUCAAACGGUUCAAAAUGGAAGAUUAUUCAUUCACUGAAGAAACGAGUCAAAUGACUCAAAUUUCAUUUGGUAAAGUUUUAAGCAAUAACCAUUUCAUUUAGUUUUCAUUUUGAUAUUGGUCGUUGUAGACCCACUCCCAGCAACGACAACCUGCAGAAGGAAAGGUACGUAAAACUUGUCAUGCAGAGGUUGGACCCAUCCCCAGCAACGUCAACCUGCAAAUAAAGAAAAGGACAGUCACACUCGAAGACCCAUCCCCAGCAACGUCUACCUGCAGGAGCAAAGGUUAGUUUGCAUUUCCUUGACGCUCGAAGGUCACGGAGAUCAUUACGUAAAAAGUAAAACUUGUCAUGCAGUGGUGUAGAGGUUGGGUGAGAACGGGACGUGUUGCAUCAUUAUCAAACAGGAAAGAGAAAAGGCGAAGGAAAAUCAGUCGAGUGAGUAUCUCCGACACGGCAACAACUACUAUUUGUCAUCAACUGCCUUCUUCAUUGUAUUGAACCAGUUCACAAUCAUGGUAAACUAUGGCGUCGUGCUACUGUUGGUUGUUGUCCUCAAAUACUACAACAACGAGGCUUCAAAGUAUUACACUACACAAUUGCCACGAGAUGCAUCAGCAAAGAGCCCGACAACAGAAACCUGCAGAAGGAAAAGGCUAGUUUGCAUGU